GAUGAACGCUGGCGGCGUGCUUAACACAUGCAAGUCGAACGAUGAAGCCCAGCUUGCUGGGUGGAUUAGUGGCGAACGGGUGAGUAACACGUGAGUAACCUGCCCCUGACUCUGGGAUAAGCCCGGGAAACUGGGUCUAAUACUGGAUAUGACCUGUCACCGCAUGGUGGUGGGUGGAAAGAUUUUUUGGUUGGGGAUGGACUCGCGGCCUAUCAGCUUGUUGGUGAGGUAGUGGCUCACCAAGGCGACGACGGGUAGCCGGCCUGAGAGGGUGAUCGGCCACACUGGGACUGAGACACGGCCCAGACUCCUACGGGAGGCAGCGGUGGGGAAUAUUGCACAAUGGGCGCAAGCCUGAUGCAGCGACGCCGCGUGAGGGAUGACGGCCUUCGGGUUGUAAACCUCUUUCAGUAGGGAAGAAGCCUUUGGGUGACGGUACCUGCAGAAGAAGCGCCGGCUAACUACGUGCCAGCAGCCGCGGUAAUACGUAGGGCGCAAGCGUUAUCCGGAUUUAUUGGGCGUAAAGAGCUCGUAGGCGGUUUGUCGCGUCUGCCGUGAAAGUCCGGGGCUUAACUCCGGAUCUGCGGUGGGUACGGGCAGACUAGAGUGCAGUAGGGGAGACUGGAAUUCCUGGUGUAGCGGUGAAAUGCGCAGAUAUCAGGAGGAACACCGAUGGCGAAGGCAGGUCUCUGGGCUGUAACUGACGCUGAGGAGCGAAAGCAUGGGGAGCGAACAGGAUUAGAUACCCUGGUAGUCCAUGCCGUAAACGUUGGGCACUAGGUGUGGGGGACAUUCCACGUUUUCCGCGCCGUAGCUAACGCAUUAAGUGCCCCGCCUGGGGAGUACGGCCGCAAGGCUAAAACUCAAAGGAAUUGACGGGGGCCCGCACAAGCGGCGGAGCAUGCGGAUUAAUUCGAUGCAACGCGAAGAACCUUACCAAGGCUUGACAUGGACUGGAUCGCCGCAGAGAUGUGGUUUCCCUUCGGGGCUGGUUCACAGGUGGUGCAUGGUUGUCGUCAGCUCGUGUCGUGAGAUGUUGGGUUAAGUCCCGCAACGAGCGCAACCCUCGUUCCAUGUUGCCAGCGGGUUAUGCCGGGGACUCAUGGGAGACUGCCGGGGUCAACUCGGAGGAAGGUGAGGACGACGUCAAAUCAUCAUGCCCCUUAUGUCUUGGGCUUCACGCAUGCUACAAUGGCCGGUACAAAGGGUUGCGAUACUGUGAGGUGGAGCUAAUCCCAAAAAGCCGGUCUCAGUUCGGAUUGGGGUCUGCAACUCGACCCCAUGAAGUCGGAGUCGCUAGUAAUCGCAGAUCAGCAACGCUGCGGUGAAUACGUUCCCGGGCCUUGCACUCACCGC
rnacentral:rRNA from 1 species